AGAGUUUGAUCCUGGCUCAGAACGAACGCUGGCGGCGUGGAUAAGACAUGCAAGUCGAACGGGAUUUUUUUCUGUAGCAAUACAGGAAAAAGUCUAGUGGCGAACGGGUGCGUAACACGUGAGCAACCUGCCGUGAAGUGGGGGAUAGCUCGCCGAAAGGCGAAUUAAUACCGCAUGUGGCCAGGAAGGACAUCCUUCCGACGCCAAAGCCGGGGCAACCUGGCGCUUCUCGAGGGGCUCGCGGCCUAUCAGCUUGUUGGUGAGGUAACGGCUCACCAAGGCUAUGACGGGUAGCUGGUCUGAGAGGACGACCAGCCACACUGGAACUGAGACACGGUCCAGACACCUACGGGUGGCAGCAGUCGAGAAUUUUUCACAAUGGGGGAAACCCUGAUGGAGCGACGCCGCGUGGAGGAUGAAGGUUUUCGGAUUGUAAACUCCUGUCAUUAGAGAACAAGGCACACGGCUUAACUGGCCGUGUGUUGAUAGUAUCUGAAGAGGAAGAGACGGCUAACUCUGUGCCAGCAGCCGCGGUAAUACAGAGGUCUCAAGCGUUGUUCGGAUUCAUUGGGCGUAAAGGGUGCGUAGGUGGCGAUGUAAGUCGGAUGUGAAAUCUCCAAGCUUAACUUGGAAACUGCAUUCGAUACUGCGUUGCUAGAGGAUUGUAGAGGGCAUUGGAAUUCACGGUGUAGCAGUGAAAUGCGUAGAUAUCGUGAGGAAGACCAGUGGCGAAGGCGAAUGCCUGGGCAAUUCCUGACACUGAGGCACGAAGGCCAGGGGAGCAAACGGGAUUAGAUACCCCGGUAGUCCUGGCAGUAAACGGUGCACGUUUGGUGUGGGAGGAUUCGACCCCUUCCGUGCCGGAGCUAACGCGUUAAACGUGCCGCCUGGGGAGUACGGUCGCAAGAUUAAAACUCAAAGAAAUUGACGGGGACCCGCACAAGCGGUGGAGUAUGUGGCUUAAUUCGAUGCAACGCGAAGAACCUUACCUGGCCUUGACAUGCAUCUCUAAUCCGGUGAAAGCCGGUGAGUGUAGCAAUACACAAUUUGCACAGGUGCUGCAUGGCUGUCGUCAGCUCGUGUCGUGAGAUGUUGGGUUAAGUCCCGCAACGAGCGCAACCCCUGUGAACUGUUGCCAUGGAGGCGUGAGUCUCCGGCACUCUGUUCAGACUGCCCUGUUCAACGGGGAGGAAGGUGGGGACGACGUCAAGUCAGUAUGGC
rnacentral:rRNA from 1 species